AUGUCUUUGACCGCUGCUUCUGCCACCUCUGCCCAAGGUGGUCAUCCAGCAAGGGACCAGCCAGACUCCAAUGGCUCCUCCUCUGGCAAGCCCAGUGCUCUGAGGCAGGAGCUUCUCAUUCACCUGCUUGUAGUACAAGUGAGCAUAUCUUCAACAUGUCUUUUUCUCUCUUUAAUUGCAGCAAGUGCCACAGCCCCGACGGUCUUCCCAUUGCCUCCCUGUAGCCAAGACUCCUCUACCGCCUCCCAGGUCUCCAUAGGUUGUCUGGUCUCUGGCUACUUUCCUGAACCAGUCACAGUACAGUGGAAUUCGGGAGCCAUCUCCAGCGGCAUCCAAACCUUCCCUGCACUAUUGGAUUCAUCCAGGGGCCUCUACACCCUCACCAGCCAGCUCACCAUCCCAACCAGCACCUGGGAAUCGGAGAAGUUCGAAUGCAAUGUCACACAUGCAGCUACUGGCUUCACAGCCAACAAAGACAUUGCACACUCUCCUGUGAAACCACCAGUGGUCCCAGAGGUCCGCCUGCUCCAUUCCUCCUGCGAUCCCAGGCAUGCCACCAUUGAGCUGCUGUGCAUUAUCUCCAGCUUCUACCCCAGCAGGGUGACGAUAGAGUGGCUAGUGGGUGGGCAACCUGGCUUGCUAUCCUCGAUCACAGCACCGCCCAGGAAGGAUGCCCACGGGUACACCUUCAGUACCACAAGCACAGUCAAUGUUAGCAAAGAAGACUGGCAGGCUGGGAAUACCUACCACUGCCAGGUGUUCCACGAAGCAACCCAAACCAAAUUGAAAAGCAAAGCCAAGAUAUGUGAAGAUAAUACUGAUUGCCCCUCCGCUGGCAUUAGCGUGCGAAUCAUGCCCCCAACCGCAAAAGACUUGUACAUAAACAGAGACCCUACGCUCACCUGUGUGGUGGAAAAUCUGGAAAAUGCAGACGGGCUGAAAGUCACCUGGUCACGGGCAGGUUCUGGACCUGUGAGCCCAGGUUUAUUGGAAGUGAAAGAAGAGCUUAAUGGAAAGUACACCGCGACCAGCUCCCUCCCUGUCACAACUUGGCUGCAGGGUGAGGAAUUCACCUGCAAGGUGGAAUAUCCAAGCUUGGCUUCUCCCAUCAAUAGGACCAUUGCCAAGAUGACAGGCGACAUAAAGGCUCCCAAGGUGUUCCUCUUCUCCCCGCACAACGAGGAAAUCCGUGCUCGGCCACCAAUGCUGACAGUCACUUGCCUGGUCACAGGAUUCACCCCAAAAGAAGUUUCUAUCCAGUGGCUGAAGAAUCACAAUGCUGUGCCUGAAGACCAUCAUGUCAACACACCGGUCAUGAAGGACAAGAAAAACAACUCCCACUUCAUCUACAGCAAGCUGACAAUCCCAUUCUCUGACUGGAACAAUGGAACCCCUUUCACUUGCAUAGUUUACCACGAAGCCCUCCCUAUGAAGUUCACCCAGAGGACCGUGGAGAAAACCCAGGGUAAAAAAAUCCCCCUCAACCUCUCCCAUCACAACCACCAGCAGCUUCAUCCUUUGGUCAACUGGCACCAGGCCUCUGUUCCUCAAUGGUUCAAACUAGUCAAUUGUGGCAGAGCUGUGGAGUUCACUGCAGACCCAGAAACAACGGCAGAGGUGACUGUGUCAACAAUGGAUGAUUACAGUGAUGAGAAAGAGGAGGAACUGGACCGCCUGUGGCGAACCAUCUUCAUUUUCUUUGUUCUCUUCCUCCUCAGUGUUUCUUAUAGUGCCACCAUUACACUGUUCAAAGUAAAAUGGCUCUUCUCCACUGUGAUGCUCCUGAAGAAGCAGUCGUUGGGCCCUGACUAUAAGAACGUUAGCCAAAGAGUGGCCUAG